CAACAGGGAUUGCCUUAGUAACGGCGAGUGAAGCGGCAAAAGCUCAAAUUUGAAAUCUGGCGCCUUCGGUGUCCGAGUUGUAAUUUGAAGAAGGUAACUUUGGAGUUGGCUCUUGUCUAUGUUCCUUGGAACAGGACGUCACAGAGGGUGAGAAUCCCGUGCGAUGAGAUGCCCAAUUCUAUGUAAAGUGCUUUCGAAGAGUCGAGUUGUUUGGGAAUGCAGCUCUAAGUGGGUGGUAAAUUCCAUCUAAAGCUAAAUAUUGGCGAGAGACCGAUAGCGAACAAGUACAGUGAUGGAAAGAUGAAAAGAACUUUGAAAAGAGAGUGAAAAAGUACGUGAAAUUGUUGAAAGGGAAGGGCUUGAGAUCAGACUUGGUAUUUUGCGAUCCUUUCCUUCUUGGUUGGGUUCCUCGCAGCUUACUGGGCCAGCAUCGGUUUGGAUGGUAGGAUAAUGACUAAGGAAUGUGGCAUUGCUUCGGUGGUGUGUUAUAGCCUUGGUUGAUACUGCCUGUCUAGACCGAGGACUGCGUCUUUGACUAGGAUGUUGGCAUAAUGAUCUUAAGCCACCCGUCUUGAA
rnacentral:rRNA from 1 species